AUUGAACGCUGGCGGCAGGCCUAACACAUGCAAGUCGAACGAGUGGCGGACGGGUGAGUAAUGUCUGGGAAACUGCCUGAUGGAGGGGGAUAACUACUGGAAACGGUAGCUAAUACCGCAUACCAUCGGAUGUGCCCAGAUGGGAUUAGCUAGUAGGUGGGGUAACGGCUCACCUAGGCGACGAUCCCUAGCUGGUCUGAGAGGAUGACCAGCCACACCGGAACUUGGACACGGUCCAGACUCCGAAGGGGGGCCGCAGUGGGGAAUAUUGCACAAUGGGCGCAAACCUGAUGCAGCCAUGCCGCGUGUAUGGAGAAGGCCUUCGGGUUGUAAAGUACUUUCAGCCGGGAGGCGUUACCCGCAGAAGAAGCACCGGCUAACUCCGUGCCAGCAGCCGCGGUAAUAC
rnacentral:rRNA from 1 species